CAUGCAAGUUCGAACGGCAGCACGGGAGCUUGCUCCUGGUGGCGAGUGGCGAANGNGGUGAGUAAUGCGUCGGAACGUACCGAGUAAUGGGGGAUAACGCACCGAAAGGUGUGCUAAUACCGCAUACGCCCUCCGGGGGAAAGCAGGGGAUCGCAAGACCUUGCGUUAUUCGAGCGGCCGACGUCUGAUUAGCUAGUUGGUGAGGUAAUGGCUCACCAAGGCGACGAUCAGUAGCGGGUCUGAGAGGAUGAUCCGCCACACUGGAACUGAGACACGGUCCAGACUCCUACGGGAGGCAGCAGUGGGGAAUUUUGGACAAUGGGGGCAACCCUGAUCCAGCCAUUCCGCGUGAGUGAAGAAGGCCUUCGGGUUGUAAAGCUCUUUCAGCUGGAACGAAACGGUACGCUCUAACAUAGCGUGCUAAUGACGGUACCAGCAGAAGAAGCACCGGCUAACUACGUGCCAGCAGCCGCGGUAAUACGUAGGGUGCGAGCGUUAAUCGGAAUUACUGGGCGUAAAGCGUGCGCAGGCGGAUUGUUAAGCAAGACGUGAAAUCCCCGGGCUUAACCUGGGAAUGGCGUUUUGAACUGGCAGUCUAGAGUGUGUCAGAGGGGGGUAGAAUUCCACGUGUAGCAGUGAAAUGCGUAGAGAUGUGGAGGAAUACCAAUGGCGAAGGCAGCCCCCUGGGAUAACACUGACGCUCAUGUACGAAAGCGUGGGUAGCAAACAGGAUUAGAUACCCUGGUAGUCCACGCCCUA
rnacentral:rRNA from 1 species